rnacentral:rRNA from 1 species
UACGGAGGGUGCAAGCGUUGUCCGGAUUUAUUGGGUUUAAAGGGUACGUAGGCGGUAGUUUAAGUCAGUGGUGAAAGUUUACGGCUCAACCGUGAAAGUGCCAUUGAUACUGAAUUACUUGAGUUCUGUAGAGGUGGGCGGAAUUUGUGAUGUAGCGGUGAAAUGCAUAGAUAUCACAAGGAACACCAACAGCGAAGGCAGCUCACUGGACAGAAACUGACGCUGAGGUACGAAAGCGUGGGUAGCGAAC